AUGAAGACUUUGGUUUUCUAUAUCUUCAAGGGCGUCAGCUUCAAUGCUCAGGACUUCUUCAUCCGGAAGUUAGCUGCAUCUGGCUCCGACAUCUUUGGUCUGAAGGUCUACGCUCCAUGGGUAAUGCGCCUUAUCAAGCUUCACUCUGCCUUCAACUAUCAGCCGUCUGCGCGCAAUCAUCUUGUAUUCUUGCCAGAGGUUGAUCUGUCUGUUGAAGCUAUUUACCCAGAGCCUACUAAGGAUUCAAUCUAUCUUCACAACGUUGAUCGUCAAAGCUUCACCCAACCCAUUGAAGGAGUUCAGGCAGUCUCUCGUGUUUAUCCCUUGGCUGGUAACACACGUGCCCCUCGCGCCCAAACUGACGCAACUAGAAGCACCAUAUCCCAAAGGCCUCGGAAGCGAUCUCGUGUUCUCAAUGACCGAGAGCUUCUCGUCGCGCUACAUCAGAAACAGGAUAAGCAUCAUGACUGGCUUAAGCGUCAGAUGCAAAGCCUCUUGGUGGACGUCAAUCACAUUCGCAAUCUUGCCACCAAGAAUGCCUUUGUUACACAUGAAACCUGUCGGAGGUCUUGGAAGAGUUUGACCUUGCUCACUGCUGAAGAAGAUCUUCAAGACGAUGGCUUCACAGAAAGACAAGUUUGA
rnacentral:rRNA from 1 species